rnacentral:sRNA from 1 species
UGAGUGGGGAAAACGUGAGUGCAGCUG